GGAAUCUUCCGCAAUGGACGAAAGUCUGACGGAGCAACGCCGCGUGAGUGAUGAAGGUUUUCGGAUCGUAAAGCUCUGUUGUUAGGGAAGAACAAGUACCGUUCGAAUAGGGCGGUACCUUGACGGUACCUAACCAGAAAGCCACGGCUAACUACGUGCCAGCAGCCGCGGUAAUACGUAGGUGGCAAGCAUUGUCCGGAAUUAUUGGGCGUAAAGGGCUCGCAGGCGGUUUCUUAAGUCUGAUGUGAAAGCCCCCGGCUCAACCGGGGAGGGUCAUUGGAAACUGGGAAACUUGAGUGCAGAAGAGGAGAGUGGAAUUCCACGUGUAGCGGUGAAAUGCGUAGAGAUGUGGAGGAACACCAGUGGCGAAGGCGACUCUCUGGUCUGUAACUGACGCUGAGGAGCGAAAGCGUGGGGAGCGAACAGGA
rnacentral:misc_RNA from 1 species